AUACGGAGGAUCCGAGCGUUGUCCGGAAUGAUUGGGCGUAAAGGGCGCGUAGGCGGCCCGGUAAGUCUGGAGUGAAAGUCCUGCUUUUAAGGUGGGAAUUGCUUUGGAUACUGUCGGGCUUGAGUGCAGGAGAGGUAAGUGGAAUUCCCAGUGUAGCGGUGAAAUGCGUAGAGAUUGGGAGGAACACCAGUGGCGAAGGCGACUUACUGGACUGUAACUGACGCUGAGGCGCGAAAGUGUGGGGAGCAAACAGGAUUAGAUACCCUGGUAGUCCACACUGUAAACGAUGAAUGCUAGUUGUAGGGGGUAUCGACCCCUUCUGUGCCGCAGUUAACACAAUAAGCAUUCCGCCUGGGGAGUACGGCCGCAAGGUUGAAACUCAAAUGAAUUGGCGGGG
rnacentral:rRNA from 1 species